rnacentral:rRNA from 1 species
GACGAACGCUGGCGGCGUGCCUAAUACAUGCAAGUCGAGCGGGCCGGCUUGGGGCUUGCCUUGAUUCGGUCAGCGGCGGACGGGUGAGUAACACGUGGGCAACCUGCCCGCAAGACCGGGAUAACUCCGGGAAACCGGAGCUAAUACCGGAUAACACCGAAGACCGCAUGGUCUUCGGUUGAAAGGCGGCAUUUGGGCUGUCCCUUGCGGAUGGGCCCGCGGCGCAUUAGCUAGUUGGUGAGGUAACGGCUCACCAAGGCGACGAUGGGUAGCCGGCCUGAGAGGGUGACCGGCCACACAGAGAGUGAGAGAGGGCCCAGACACACACGGGAGGCAGGAGGAGGUAAGCUUCCGCAGUGGGCGAAAGCCUGACGGAGCGACGCCGCGUGAGCGAAGAAGGCCUUCGGGUCGUAAAGCGAUGUUGUGAGGGACGAAGGAGAGUCGUUGGAAGAGGGCGGCGCGGUGACGAUACCACACGAGAAAGCCCCGGCUAACUACG